UAAAGAACAAACAAGAAUUGAUGGGUGGUGGAGUGGAGUGGGGAGAGGGAAAAUGGGUGAGGGGGUUGUUGGAGAGGGGAUUUCUGGCAGAGG